rnacentral:rRNA from 1 species
UACGGGGGGAGCAAGCGUUGUUCGGAUUUACUGGGCGUAAAGGGCGCGUAGGCGGCCUUCUAAGUCAGACGUGAAAUCCCCCGGCUUAACCUGGGAACUGCGUCUGAUACUGGAAGCUCGAGUUUGGGAGAGGGAUGCAGAAUUCCAGGUGUAGCGGUGAAAUGCGUAGAUAUCUGGAGGAAUACCGGUGGCGAAGGCGGCAAUCCUGGACCAACACUGACGCUGAGGCGCGAA